GGGGGCCCGAGCCAAGAGAUUUGCAUUGGGAAGCGCCGUCCUCUUAGGCGUCUUAGGCGUCUGGCAAGAAAGCAGAGUCGCUGACCGACUGAGCUGCAUUUCUCGAGCGUUUGCUGGGUUUUGCCUCGCUGAGCUGUGGGGAGCCCCGGGGCGGGGCGGGGAGGGCAGGGCAGGGCAGGGAACCCUGUCACUGAGCCGACACCUGCUCCUGCGCCCCCCGCCCACGCCCCGACCUCCGGCGCGGGUCGCCCUACCCUGCAGCAGCGCGGGCAGCAGUGCCCGCCCCUGCCCUCCCCGCCCAUCCUUCCUCCAGGCUGCCGGGAGGACGGCGCGAGGACUGCAGGAAGCCCUGAGAACCGGCCCAAUGGAGUGAUGAGGGGCUGCAGACCCGGGUAUUUAUCCUUCUCUGACGACGCUUGGUUGCGGAAUCGAGUUUUGAGCUCGAUGUAAAGUUUAAAUUGCAGUCUGCAAGCUGUUUCAAAGACUGAACACGUGGCAGAAAUCAUUGCCCCUCCCUCAAGGUGUCUCACCUCCCAGUGUAACUGAAAGGCUAAGGCAAGUGACCUUUUUUCCCCCCAAUCACCACAGAAUGAGCAGAGAAAGGGAAUUAAUUAUUUUAGAAAUUGGCAAGUCCGUGAACAUCUUCCAGUGAUUCCUUCUGCUAUAUCUAAAGCCCAGGGUAGCCAACAACAGUAGUAAUAAUACAGCUGACCAGGGCUGUGGAUUGAAUGGCCUCCAGUCACUGCCUCUCCUGAAUCAGCUGGAGGGGUGCCAGCUCAGCAGCCCAGGCAGCUCUUCCUAUCUCCCCUCCACCCCAUGCCCCGCCCUCUGUCUGCAAGGGUGUCCCUUCCUGUAGGCUUCCUUCCGCCUGGGCUGUCCCAUCCUGUUGAUCUGAGCCUGAGGGGUUGGAGCAGCUGGCCCUGGGCACCUGCUGCAGCAGUGGAAGCUCCCCUCUGUCCCAACCAGCCGGCAAGCCUUCCUUCCUGUCAGGAGCCGCCCCCUCCACAGGCCAGCCUUCCUUCCUGUUAGGGAGCCGCCCCCUCGGGUGGCCACAGCCAGCCAGUCCUCCAGGUCUGGACCCAGUCCCUUCUUCAGGAAUGUGGGGCCUGCUGGCAUGAUGCCUCAGCACGCUGAGAAGCAGGGAGCAUUCAUGGCUUGUGGGAGUGAUUCAAAACAGGAAAGAAAAGAAAAAAGGGGUAGGAGGAACAGUGUGGCGGUGGCACAAUUCCUAGAGAUUCAGAGAAAGAUGUUCCUCAGGCACCUCAGACUCCACAUUACCAAAACUAAAAUCAUUCCUGCUCCUUCCUGUAUGGGUUCAUCAUCUCCCAUCUAGCCUUCACCUUCUCCCUCAAGUCCUGGAUCCAGUGGUCCUCAGAUCCCAACAGUUUUGCCUUGAAAAUAUCUCUUUUCUCACUUUUCAUUUCUGUCCUUCAAUUGUUAUAUCAGGUCAGUCUGUAGCAACUGUCCCUUGGAUGAAAUAAUCUGCAAUCUUCCCAUCCAAACUCCGACCCCACCCCAGCUGUUUCAUAGUGCCCAAACUCUCCAUACUGCCAUUAGAGUGGUGUUUUGAAAGUCACCAUCUGGGAUGCCUGAGUGGCUCAGUGGUUGAGCAUCUGCCCCUGGUUCAGGGCGUGAUCCCGGAUUCCUGUGUUCGAGUCCCACAUCAGGCUCCUGGCACGGAGCCUGCUUCUCCCUCUGCCUGUGUCUCUGCCUCUCUCUCUCUCUCUCUCUCUCUCUGUCUGUCUCUCAUGAAAAAUAAGCAAAAUCUUAAAAAAAAAAACAAAAAAAGUCACCAUCCAAUCAUGACACUCCCUACUUAAAGAGGAUCCUUGGCUUCUGUUGCCUAGGAGAUAAGAGGCUAUUCCAUUCAGAGUUGUAUAGUCUGGCCCCAACUACUCUCCCCACCUAGCUCCUCUCCAACCUAGAUGUACCCUUGCCCACAGCCAUAACAAAUGACUUGCUGUUUCUCAAACAUGUGGUACAAUUCCAUAUCUCUAAGCCAUGUCCUCAUUCAGUAAACAUUGUGUUGCUGCUCAUUUAUCCAGUAUUUGUUGAACACCUACUAUGUGUUCUAGGUACCCAGACAACUGCAGGGAACAAAACAGUCCAGUCCCUGCUCUCAAAAAGCUUAGAUGGGAAGAUUAAGACAAGUCUCUCCGUGUCUCUCUCUAUAUAUAAUAUAUGUAUAUAAUAAAAUCACUUAUGAAAGUGAAGUUAACUGCAAUUCAUAGAAUUGCAAUGGGGUGAUAUGAUAAUAUGAUUGUGCCUAUAAUUGUGGUUUGGUUUAAGAGAUAAGAGAAUCUUAAAAAAAAGAGAGAGAGAGAGAGAUAAGAGAAUCUUGCUUUGAGGAAGAGACUUUUAAGUUGAAAAUCUAAUGAAAGGAUAGGCAGAUUCAGGGAUAAUGUGCUUGAGUGGAGGGAACAGCUAUGAAAGCUUCCUACCAGGAAGGAGCUUGCUUGGUGGUGCAGUGUGGCUGGAGGUUUAGAGAGUACUGGGGAAAGUGGGGGGAGGGCAGGGUUCGAGAAUGAGGCAGGAGGAGCCAGACUACUAAGGAAUUUAUAGGCCACAGUGUGAAAUACAGAUUUUCUUUAAAGUGUAACAGGAGCCAAAGUGUCUUGGAAGAAAUAUAUAUUUUCAUCUUUGAAGGGCUCCUUUGGCUCCCUUUGCUCUAUUGCCAUCUUGCUGAAGGCCUUCCUUGAUAACUUCAAGAUUAAUCCACUGUUCUCUGUUUCCGCAGCACUUUGUCCACACUCCUUGCUGGGUGCAGAGCACAUAUCACAUCUUAUGGCAGGAAGUAUUUUACAAUAUUGAUUCCUGCCCAUACUACACCCAGAUCUGAGCUCCUUGAAGGUGGUGGCCAUGUCAUAAUCUUUCUAGUCCAGUCUGUUCUAUAUUAGGCACUCAAGAUUUUUUUUUAAUGGAAGAAAUUAAAUUGUGGGUCGUUUCUGAGCACUCAAAGGAGUUACAGAAAGAAUGUGGACCAACAGCUAGGGCAGGAGUUCUAGAUCCUUCUCUACCUUACCCCUAACUUGCAUCAUUGUAGGACCACACAUGGGAAACUGUCAUCUUGGGCAUGACUAAAAAAAGUCCUGGGCAAUAGGAAGCAGGAGCUCAGAUAGAUGCUGGCCCUUCCUGCUGAUGGUGCUGGCUUCUCCUUCCAUCAGAACAAUGAAGGAAGUGGCAGUGGGACCAACAUGUAAAGAUCCCUCAGUUCAGUUUAGUGAACUGGAAUUAAAGCAUACUGUAACUGACAGCCAUAUUCUUAUUGCUCCUUCAAGUCAGUGGGUAUCAUCACCAUUCAUCCAUUGCCCCACCAUAUACCAGGCACUAGCUGAACACAGGAAUAACAAUAAAAGGUGGAAGGAACUUCCAUUAUAGCAGGAGAAGUAGGUAAGUGAGGCCGCUGUGACUAUAGAGUGUGGUAAAUACUAGGAGAGGGGUGUGCACAGAGUGUCCUAGGAGGGCAAGGAAGGGAUGAGGGAAGGCUUCCCUCAGCUGAUCCCUAAGAGAGAGGAGAAGAGGGGUGGAGGUGGAGAGUAAAGAGACUGUUGGGGAUUCAGGAUUCUCCGAAGUGUCUAGAUCACAGAUUUGAGAGGUAGGAUGAGGAGCUUAGGGUGUUAAGGGAAGCAGCCUCAAACACAAAGGGCCUUUGCAUGACAUACUAAGGAAUGUGGAAGUAGAACUUUAUUCUAAGGACAAUGGGGACCUACUGACAGAUUUAGCAAGGAGCGAUGGUAUAGAAAGCCCAGUUUGGCUCAGUGUGGAGCAUAGACCAGAGGGGUGGAGGUCUAACACCAGUGAGAAGGCUUUUUCAGUAAUGUAGGCAACAAAGAUGAUGCUAGCUUAAACGAAGGCAACGGUGGCAGGCAUGGAAAGAACAGAAUAGAAAUAGCAAGAAACAAUAGAAUUUGGCAAUUCACUGGAAGGGGGCAUGAGAGAGAGGGAGAUGUGGAGGAGGACUGCCUGGUUCUGGCUUGAUUCACUGGAUGAAACAGGACCGUAUUGCCCAACAAACAGGCCAUAGGGAGGUAGAAGGUUUUGGUGGAGAGGCAUAAAAUGCCAAAUUUGAUUUGGGACAUAUAAAGAUAAAAUUACUUGUGGGACAUCCAAAUAGAGAUGCCCAGGAGGCAGUUGGAAUUUCAGUUCUGGAGCCCAGGAGAGAAAGAUCUGGGCCAGAGAUUAAAAUCUGGGAGUAAUCAGGGUAUAGGUGGCCACUGAAGGCAGAUGAGUAGCUGCAAUCCCCUAGGAAGAGUAAACAAGAGAUAAGAGAACUGAGGGUGGGUCUCUGGAGAACUACCAGGCUCAGGAUGAAGGCUGAGAGGGAGUAGCCAUGUGGUGAAAUGUUGGCAAAGGGUGACAGCCGAGAACUUCUCUUACAUGCUCAGGAUUUAGGAUUUCUUAGCCUACUAUUACAUAGAGAUGAGAGGCAAGCAAGGGUUAAUUCAGAAAGUGAAAGUGUCACACCGAUUAGGAAAAAUCUGCUCUGUGACUAGUGAACAUUAUUUGUUAUUUUCAUUAUACUAAUUACUGUGGUUUUUAAGCUCAUUAAAAAUUUAUUUUUUUAAGAUCUUGAACUCUUAGGGGUGCCUGGUAGGCUCAGUAGAUAGAGCAUGCAACUCUUGAUCUCAGGGCUGUGAGUUCAAGCCCCACAUUGGGCAGACAUACAGCUUAAUUUAAAGAAAUAAAAAAUAGAUAAAAAAUGGUAAAAUCUUGAACUCUGUGUCCAGUAGAUUGUUGUUUCUAAAGAUGACCACAACAACCCCUUUCAUUCUGCAUAACCUUCUCCGAGGUGACUUUGCCAUUCCUGCAUGAAGAGGUGAAGUCUGUUUCGCCAACCCCUGAAUGGGGGCUGGCCCUGUGUCUUGCUUUGGCUAACAGAAUCGGGGGUGGUGCUGUGUGUGGGACUUUGUGCCUAGGUCUUAUUCGGAAGCCUUUGGAGUUUCCAUUUUAACCCUCUUGGACAGAGGCAGAAGCUGAACUACUGAAUAAGAACAUUUGAAUGGAGAAUGGCCACUUGGAGACGAGGGCACCCCAACUGACAGCCAGGCCCAGGACUCCAAGUGCAUGAGCAGGCCCACCUGGGACCCUCCAGCACCAGCCAAGCAGGCCCAGCUGACACAGCCUGAAGCAGAAAUGAGCUCUACUUGAAUUCCUGACCCCCAGAAUUGUGAAUGAUAUAUGGAACAGCAACCCCACGCAGCAUUGCCUGCCUCCCCUCUAGCGGGGAGGCACUACUCCCUGCCCCCGCCCCCAGCUUCUGCCUGUAGGAGUGUCCCUGGGUUUUGGGGUGGUUUGCUGUGCCACAAGAAAUAACUGAAACAGUGGGUGUGUGAUUGUAUCAGCUCUGGAGUGGCAGCCACAGUUUUCAAAAUAUUCAUCUUAUAAAAAUACUUUAAAAAAAUCUGAAACAGCUGGGAGAAAGCCCCAGGAAGGAAGACUAGAAAAACUGGUGAAGUAGGAAAAGCAAUUGGAAUAAGAAAUAACUUGGAAAAAUGGGUAAUAUGUAGAUCUGGAAGAAAUAUAUACCACCACUCCCCCCACCUCCAAGCACUCUACUGAGCCCUUUGCAAUGGAAGUAAAUGUAUAAUAGGAAAAAGGAAGGGCGCUUACUUUGAUGGAGGGCCUGCUAUGUACCAGUGGCUGCCUGGCACAUUAACAAUAUGGGGGACCUAAUCUGACCUGCUCUACAAAGUUCAGGGUAUAUUACAGCACUUCAUGUUAGAAUUUUUUUUGUACAGAAUUAAAGUUUUUCCACUUCCCA